AAAAGCGAAGUACUAAGUGCGCUUCACUUACAAUGAAGAAGUCAAGAUUUUCUUGCGCUUUUA
rnacentral:tRNA from 1 species